UACGAAGGGGCGAGCGUUGUUCGGAUUUACUGGGCGUAAAGGGCGCGUAGGCGGCGCUUCAAGUCGCGUGUGAAAGCCCCGGGCUCAACCUGGGAGGUGCGCGCGAGACUGUGGUGCUGGAGUUCGGGAGAGGAGCGUGGAAUUCCCAGUGUAGAGGUGAAAUUCGUAGAUAUUGGGAAAGAACACCGGUGGCGAAGGCGGCUCACUGGCCCGGUACU
rnacentral:rRNA from 1 species